rnacentral:misc_RNA from 1 species
GAUGAAGAACGUAGCGAAAUGCGAUAAGUAAUGUGAAUUGCAGAAUUCAGUGAAUCAUCGAAUCUUUGAACGCACAUUGCGCCCGUCAGUAUUCUGGCGGGCAUGCCUGUUCGAGCGUCAUUACGCCCCUCAAGUCCCCUGUGGACUUGGUGUUGGGGAUCGGCGAGGCUGGUUUUCCAGCACAGCCGUCCCUUAAAUUAAUUGGCGGUCUCGCCGUGGCCCUCCUCUGCGCAGUAGUAAAACACUCGCAACAGGAGCCCGGCGCGGUCCACUGCCGUAAAAACCCCCAACUUUUUAUAGUUGACCUCGAAUCAGGUAGGACUACCCGCUGAACUUAAGCAUAUCAAUAAGCGGAGGA